rnacentral:rRNA from 1 species
UGCAAGUCGAGCGGACAGAAGGGAGCUUGCUCCCGGAUGUUAGCGGCGGACGGGUGAGUAACACGUGGGUAACCUGCCUGUAAGACUGGGAUAACUCCGGGAAACCGGAGCUAAUACCGGAUAGUUCCUUGAACCGCAUGGUUCAAGGAUGAAAGACGGUUUCGGCUGUCACUUACAGAUGGACCCGCGGCGCAUUAGCUAGUUGGUGGGGUAAUGGCUCACCAAGGCGACGAUGCGUAGCCGACCUGAGAGGGUGAUCGGCCACACUGGGACUGAGACACGGCCCAGACUCCUACGGGAGGCAGCAGUAGGGAAUCUUCCGCAAUGGACGAAAGUCUGACGGAGCAACGCCGCGUGAGUGAUGAAGGUUUUCGGAUCGUAAAGCUCUGUUGUUAGGGAAGAACAAGUGCGAGAGUAACUGCUCGCACCUUGACGGUACCUAACCAGAAAGCCACGGCUAACUACGUGCCAGCAGCCGCGGUAAUACGUAGGUGGCAAGCGUUGUCCGGAAUUAUUGGGCGUAAAGGGCUCGCAGGCGGUUUCUUAAGUCUGAUGUGAAAGCCCCCGGCUCAACCGGGGAGGGUCAUUGGAAACUGGGAAACUUGAGUGCAGAAGAGGAGAGUGGAAUUCCACGUGUAGCGGUGAAAUGCGUAGAGAUGUGGAGGAACACCAGUGGCGAAGGCGACUCUCUGGUCUGUAACUGACGCUGAGGAGCGAAAGCGUGGGGAGCGAACAGGAUUAGAUACCCUGGUAGUCCACGCCGUAAACGAUGAGUGCUA